ensembl:snRNA U1 U1 spliceosomal RNA
UUACCUACCUGGCCAGAGAGAUACCAUGAUCAGGCAGGUGGCUUUCCCAGGACAAGGCUCAGCCCCUGCACUCCGGCUGGGCUGCCCCUGAGAUUUCCCCAAAUGCGGGAAACCCGACUGCAUAAUUUGUGGUAGUGUGGGACUGCAUUUGUGCUCUCUUUUU